rnacentral:rRNA from 1 species
ACCCGCACAAGCGGUGGAUGAUGUGAUUAAUUCGAUGCAACGCGAAAACCUUACCUACCCUUGACAUGUCCGGAAUCCCGAAGAGAUUUGGGAGUGCUCGCAAGAGAACCGGAACACAGGUGCUGCAUGGCUGUCGUCAGCUCGUGUCGUGAGAUGUUGGGUUAAGUCCCGCAACGAGCGCAACCCUUGUCAUUAGUUGCCAUCAUUUGGUUGGGCACUCUAAUGAGACUGCCGGUGACAAACCGGAGGAAGGUGGGGAUGACGUCAAGUCCUCAUGGCCCUUAUGGGUAGGGCUUCACACGUCAUACAAUGGUCGGUACAGAGGGUUGCCAACCCGCGAGGGGGAGCUAAUCCCACAAAGCCGAUCGUAGUCCGGAUCGCAGUCUGCAACUCGACUGCGUGAAGUCGGAAUCGCUAGUAAUCGUGGAUCAGCAUGUCACGGUGAAUACGUUCCCGGGUCUU